GGCUUUGCACAGUGGCAGUAUUGUAGCCAAUGAGGUUUAUCCGAGGCAUAAUUAUUGCUAUUGAAAACUUUUCCCUAUAUCCCACCAUGAGGACUUGAAAUAUAGUUGGCAUUGGCAAUUUUUGACAGUCUCUACGGAGA
ensembl:snRNA U4 U4 spliceosomal RNA